CAUAUCCUGCGAUGUGCGUUUUCCCAUUAUGUUUUAAACCGUACUGUUUUUUAGGGAUUCUUAUAUGGGUUGACCAAAGCCAUGCCCCCUCUUCGGACGUGGGAUCGCGAGAAGGUCAACAUGCGGAAACCCACCUGCAAGAGCGCGGGUUAAUAAAACAAAUAGGGAAGACGGCAUAGGCGGGACAGAA
rnacentral:other from 1 species